ensembl:lncRNA
CUACAAGUACAGUCAAGCCAUAAAUUGAACAAUGAAUAUCUUGUCCAGUAAGGCUCAGAUCCCAGCUGGGGUUUUCGGCAGCAGCUUGAGCAACAUUUCUGAGGGGAAGACCUUUAUGAAGGAGAUUAAGGAGUGCCCGUAUUCAGCAGGCACUGCUCUUUUCCCAUAAGACUGGAGGACUAAUGGCUGUGCAUGAGAUCCUGCCUGCUCUUCCGCACACACAGGGCAGGCACAUUCAUGCUAUUUAACCUCUCUUGCUGCAGGAGUUUGGGGGCAGGGACUGUAGGUUCCCCUCCAUCUGCAGGGGUUGGACAGGAUCAGCAGAAAGAGACCGGUGCAAGUUUUUGGAGGUGCUUUUGUGCCUUGAUCCUUUGUUUGUGUCUUUAAAAAUGUAGUGCCUUGUGCUGGAAACUACAUGUAUAGUUGUCUGCUGCUUGUGUCCCCUGUGAGGAUCAGUACAAGAGGGAUUGGAUUUUGUGCAAUAUUCCCAUCUGGGUUGUAACUUCCUCCUCUUCUGCAGUCUUUAACAGUGGCAAGGUACAAAAGUACCCUUGCAGACCUGCUUUUGGAAGCCCCUUCUUCAUUAUUUGGUUUACACGUGCAGUGAGUGUCAUGCAGCCGAGAUCUCUCGCUUUAGCACACCUGCACACAUAUUGACUGCAGAAAGAAUUAGGCCAUGCUCUCCCACCAGUUGCUGUGGCAAAACCCAGGCAUGGAUUUACCAGAGAGACCACAUGGAGUCUGUCCUUCCUCCUGGCAUCCCUGCAGUUCUAUGAGAGCACAUCUACCCAUGGCGGAGUGCACCAAGAGGUCCCCUUGGCACGUAACCCCUCUUCUUACCCUCAUUCUCCUCUCUCUUUUGCCCCAUCUCCUGCUCACACCCUUCUGGGAUGAAACAAGAAGCACUGACAAUAUUGAGAAUGUCAGCCUCCAUGCAUGUGGGAACUGUUAGCUCACAGACUGCAAGCCCUGAAGACACCACUGCCAUCAUCUAGUUUGCCCUGCUGCCUAGCACAAGGUGUAAGACUUUCAGCCAAUAAUUUCUCUGAUAAGCUCAACAGCCUGCAUUGAGCUGAGGUUCCAGGUUUAAUUAAGAGAGUAACUUGUGCAUUUGGGGUAUUAACAAAAGAUCCAAAUUAUUGCUGUGAUUGUUUCAUUUAUUUUUAAUAACAAUCAUAAAAAGGGGCUGUCUGAACCCUGAGGUAUUGUAGGUCCAGUAGAGAUGGGUGGAAUUUAACUUGCAUUCUGCUUGGUGAGGUAAAAUCCCAUUGUGUAGGGUCCAUCCUGUAUCAGAAGAAUGAAUUACAUCUGCUGGGCAGUUCAGCCUGUGUGAGAUGUCCAUUUCUCUGCAGAGGCGUGCUGCAUCAUCAUAAUUGGUUCAACGAGGCACUUCGGCUUGUGUAGAGAUGGGGAAGAGCUCUCCCCACUGCUAUUACAGAAUAACUUACCUAGAAGGAAAGUUUCUUCCCAACUUCUCAGAGAAAAGUUGGCUUGUGCCUUAAAACCUGGAGAUUUACGUUCUUUAAAAUGUGUGUGGGUUUUUUUAAUCCUGUCUAAUGUAACUAUAGAUGGUCUCCAUAACCAUAUAAAUCCCCCGUUAUUGUUUGAUUCCAGCCAAGACCUUGGCCUCAGUGAUAUCUGGUCGUAAUGAGUUCCACUGAGUUACAGUGAAGCUAAUUGUAUUUGAUAUGGCUGCAGU